rnacentral:lncRNA from 1 species
GCACUUCCUCAUCGGUGAAAAGAAUGAUGGAUCUACAACCGUGGACUUCAGCCUCUUUGGUGCACGUCCUCGGAUGGUGAAAUCAACCCCAUAGUGGCAGGAUCCGAUCGGCGAAGGACAGUGGAUGCUGAUUCGAUGCAAAAAUAGGUCAUAAAAAAGAAUCAGAGAGAGAUCGGGAGGUGAGGAGCAAAGGGGGAGAAUCG